ACUCCUACGGGAGGCAGCAGUGGGAAGUAUUGCACAAUGGGGGAAACCCUGAUGCAGCCAUGCCGCGUGUGUGAAGAAGGCCUUGGGUUGUAAAGCACUUUCAGUAGGGAGGAAGGUAGUGUAGUUAACACCUGCACUAUUUGACGUUACCUACAGAAGAAGCACCGGCUAACUCCGUGCCAGCAGCCGCGGUAAUACGGAGGGUGCGAGCGUUAAUCGGAAUUACUGGGCGUAAAGCGCAUGCAGGCGGCCUGUUAAGUCAGAUGUGAAAGCCCGGGGCUUAACCUCGGAAUUGCAUUUGAAACUGGCAGGCUAGAGUCUUGUAGAGGGGUUAGAAUUUCGAGGUGUAGCGGUGAAAUGCGUAGAGAUCUGAAGGAAUACCAGUGGCGAAGGCGGCCCCUGGACAAAGACUGACGCUCAGAUGCGAAAGCGUGGGAGCAAACAGGAUUAGAUACCCCGUGGUAGCGACUGA
rnacentral:rRNA from 1 species